UACGUAGGGACCAAGCGUUGUUCGGAUUUACUGGGCGUAAAGGGCGCGUAGGCGGUGCGGUAAGUCACUUGUGAAAUCUCUGAGCUUAACUCAGAACGGCCAAGUGAUACUGCAGUACUAGAGUGCAGAAGGGGCAAUCGGAAUUCUUGGUGUAGCGGUGAAAUGCGUAGAUAUCAAGAGGAACACCUGAGGUGAAGACGGGUUGCUGGGCUGACACUGACGCUGAGGCGCGAAAGCCAGGGGAGCAAACGGG
rnacentral:rRNA from 1 species